CCUACGGGUGGCAGCAGUAGGGAAUCUUCCACAAUGGGCGAAAGCCUGAUGGAGCAACGCCGCGUGGGUGAAGAAGGUCUUCGGAUCGUAAAACUCUGUUGUUAGAGAAGAAAGUGCGUGAGAGUAACUGUUCACGUUUCGACGGAAUCUAACCAGAAAGCCACGGCUAACUACGGGCCAGCAGCGGCGGUAAUACGGAGGUGGCAAGCGUUGUCCGGAUUUAUUGGGCGUAAAGGGAACGUAGGCGGGUUUUUAAGUCUGAUGUGAAAGGCUGCGGCUUAACCGGAGUAGUGCAUUGGAAACUGGGAGACUUGAGUGCAGAAGAGGAGAGUGGAACUCCAUGUGUAGCGGUGAAAUGCGUAGAUAUAUGGAAGAACACCAGUGGCGAAAGCGGCUCUCUGGUCUGUAACUGACGCUGAGGUUCGAAAGCGUGGGUAGCAAACAGGAUUAGAUACCCUUGUAGUC
rnacentral:rRNA from 1 species